rnacentral:rRNA from 1 species
CACGUAGGGGGCAAGCGUUGUCCGGAUUUAUUGGGCGUAAAGAGCUCGUAGGCGGUUCGAUAAGUCGGGUGUGAAACCUCCAGGCUCAACCUGGAGACGCCACCCGAUACUGUCGUGACUAGAGUCCAGUAGGGGAGCGUGGAAUUCCUGGUGUAGCGGUGAAAUGCGCAGAUAUCAGGAGGAACACCGGUGGCGAAGGCGGGUCUCUGGGCAAUAACUGACGCUGAGGAGCGAAAGCGUGGGGAGCGAACAGG